rnacentral:rRNA from 1 species
UUGGUGAGGUAAUGGCUCACCAAGGCGACGACGGGUAGCCGGCCUGAGAGGGCGACCGGCCACACUGGGACUGAGACACGGCCCAGACUCCUACGGGAGGCAGCAGUGGGGAAUAUUGCACAAUGGGCGAAAGCCUGAUGCAGCGACGCCGCGUGAGGGAUGACGGCCUUCGGGUUGUAAACCUCUUUCAGCAGGGAAGAAGCGAAAGUGACGGUACCUGCAGAAGAAGCGCCGGCUAACUACGUGCCAGCAGCCGCGGUAAUACGUAGGGCGCAAGCGUUGUCCGGAAUUAUUGGGCGUAAAGAGCUCGUAGGCGGCUUGUCACGUCGGGUGUGAAAGCCCGGGGCUUAACCCCGGGUCUGCAUUCGAUAC